rnacentral:rRNA from 1 species
UACGUAGGGGGCAAGCGUUGUCCGGAAUCAUUGGGCGUAAAGAGCGUGUAGGCGGCUCGAUAAGUCUGCUGUGAAAGUCCAGGGCUCAACCCUGGAAGGCCGGUGGAAACUGUCGGGCUAGAGUCCGGAAGAGGCGAGUGGAAUUCCUGGUGUAGCGGUGGAAUGCGCAGAUAUCAGGAGGAACACCGGUGGCGAAGGCGGGUCUCUGGGCCGAUACUGACGCUGAGGAGCGAAAGCGUGGGGAGCGAACAGG